rnacentral:rRNA from 1 species
UACAGAGGGUGCGAGCGUUUGUCCGGAAUCACUGGGCGUAAAGGGCGCGUAGGUGGCGCCGCAAGUCCAUGGUGAAAGCUCGAUGCUCAACAUCGAGUCGGCCACGGAGACUGCGGGGCUCGAGCACUGUAGGGGCAGAUGGAAUUCCGGGUGUAGCGGUGGAAUGCGUAGAGAUCGGGAGGAACACCCGUGGCGAAGGCGGCCAACUGGGCCGACCCUGGACGCUGAGGCGCGAAGGCGUGGGGAGCGAACGGGAUUGAGAU